UACGUAGGGUGCAAGCGUUGUCCGGAAUUAUUGGGCGUAAAGAGCUCGUAGGCGGUCUGUCGCGUCUGCUGUGAAAACUCAGGGCUUAACCCUGAGCUUGCAGUGGGUACGGGCAGACUAGAGUGCGGUAGGGGGAGACUGGAAUUCCUGGUGUAGCGGUGAAAUGCGCAGAUAUCAGGAGGAACACCCGUGGCGAAGGCGGUUCUCUGGGACGGUACUGACGACUGGAGAC
rnacentral:rRNA from 1 species